rnacentral:sRNA from 1 species
CGGCAUGGAUGCCGCUGGUUCCACGCAACAGCGACGUUUGAGGCUUCGCCUCAAACUCGUCGAUGAAAAAUGUACACGGAUGUACAUUUUUCAUCA